rnacentral:rRNA from 1 species
CUACGUAGGUGGCGAGCGUUGUCCGGAUUUACUGGGUGUAAAGGGCGCGUAGGCGGGCUAUCAAGUCAGAUGUGAAAUACCGGGGCUUAACUCCGGAGCUGCAUUUGAAACUGACAGUCUUGAGUAUCGGAGAGGAAAGCGGAAUUCCUAGUGUAGCGGUGAAAUGCGUAGAUAUUAGGAGGAACACCAGUGGCGAAGGCGGCUUUCAGGACGACAACUGACACUGAGGCGCGAAAGUGUGGGGAGCAAACAGGAUUAGAUGCCCUGAUAGUCCACACCGUAAACGAUGGAUACUAGGUGUAGGAGGUAUCGACCCCUUCUGUGCCGGAGUUAACACGAUAAGUAUCCCACCUGGGGAGUACGGCCGCAAGGCUGAAACUCAAAGGAAUUGACGGGG